AGUGAACGCUGGCGGUAGGCCUAACACAUGCAAGUCGAACGGCAGCACAGUAAGAGCUUGCUCUUACGGGUGGCGAGUGGCGGACGGGUGAGGAAUACAUCGGAAUCUACUUUUUCGUAGGGGAUAACGUAGGGAAACUUACGCUAAUACCGCAUACGACCUACGGGUGAAAGCAGGGGAUCUUCGGACCUUGCGCGAUUGAAUGAGCCGAUGUCGGAUUAGCUAGUUGGCGGGGUAAAGGCCCACCAAGGCGACGAUCCGUAGCUGGUCUGAGAGGAUGAUCAGCCACACUGGAACUGAGACACGGUCCAGACUCCUACGGGAGGCAGCAGUGGGGAAUAUUGGACAAUGGGCGCAAGCCUGAUCCAGCCAUACCGCGUGGGUGAAGAAGGCCUUCGGGUUGUAAAGCCCUUUUGUUGGGAAAGAAAAGCAGCAGGUUAAUACCCCGCUGUUCUGACGGUACCCAAAGAUUAAGCACCGGCUAACUUCGUG
rnacentral:rRNA from 1 species